CUUUUCUAUUUUCCAGUCUGUCUCUGCUACAUUCCAGAAUUAAGAAAUUGGUAUGAAUGAUGAGAAAGAGACAUGUAUGAGGAGGGGCCAGGGGGCAUUGAACUAUGGAUUCUAAGAGGAGGAGUUCAUGUUCUGUGGAGUUCUUAUAGUCAUAUGCUUUUUCUCAAUCGAAAUCGAAGGAUCCUUCAACAAGGUGUGGAUUUCAAGUAGAUUGAUCUAGAAUGGGACUGGGACAACUUCUUGAUUCUUCAAGCACUAGUUGGGUCCAUGGCUUGCUAUGUGUUUCCAUUUCUUCAAGAUCUUCCAUUAUGGAAUAUGAAAGGUGUUGUUGCUGCUAUGAUUCUGCACGUGGGAGUCUCAGAGCCACUUUACUAUUGGAUGCAUAGAAAGUUUCAUGAACAUCACUUUCUUUUCAC